UAAUUAGGUUUUUAGUUUAGACAAUCCUCCCAACUCUUCUCUUACCUCCAGCCGCCCGAUACGAAGAAAACCCUUCCCACCAUAUUCUACUAAUUGUAUCAAUCUCGAUCUUCAACCAUCAACGCCAUUUGAUAUUCAAAUCUGUCUCAGGUGUACUUUUGAAUUUUGAUAUAUGGAAUCCAUUUUAAUUCAGUUGGGAUGCUCAAAAAUAAUAUUGUUUAGCUGCAUAUUCAGUUACACAACAGGACAGCUACCAAAAGCAGCAACAAGUAACUUGUGGGCGUCGUUUUGGAAUGUUUGGUAGUUUGGAGGCAAUAUGGUGGUUACUAUGGUGCUGCUCCAUAUAGAGAAGGGCUUAGCACCAGACAAGGGGGUUCUACCAUUUGGAUGACUUGGAUGAUGAGAUCAGUGUGGACUUGCCAUUGAGAACUGGAAUGGCCUUUUAGGUUAUACCCAUUUGGAUGUAUAUUGAGAACUGGAAUGCUUAUUCCAACAACAAUCAGUUUAAGGAAAUUCAAGUGUAAGAUUCGUGGGGAGGAUGGAGGUAGUCAACGUAUUGAGGACUUGAGGUUCGUUUUAUGAUAGACACUUGAUGAAGACUGUUUUUGUUUCAAAAUUGGGCGGAAUUGUGAAUUUAAAUAGCGAGCCUAACUGUUUGGAAUGGAACGGAAUCGCAACGCCAAAAGCAAACUUGUUUAUUUGGAGAGCUGUGGAGGAGAAGAUCCCAACGAUGGAUGCGCUAAAAAGGAGGGGGUGCAGGUUACUUUGGACACCUGGCGGAUCAUCAACAGAAACGACAGGUCACAUAUUUAUCCAUUGUCCAUAUGCUAAUCAUGUGUGCAUGAUGCUAUGGGCAUGGUUAAAAAUCCCGGCCAAGGACCAACAAGAGUCGCUUUGUACAAGAAUUCAGGAUAGAUUAACCCAAAGGUUUUUACCUUUUACAAUUUUAACCCUACAUAAUUUGUUUUUUAACUUU